GUGCUCACUUCAGUGGCACAUAUACUAAAAUUGAAAUAAUGAAGAGAUGAUUAGCAUGGCCCCUGCACAAGGAUGACAUACAAACUUGUAAAGCAUUUUGUAGUUUU
ensembl:snRNA U6 U6 spliceosomal RNA